rnacentral:rRNA from 1 species
CCUACGGGAGGCAGCAGUGGGGAAUUUUGGACAAUGGACGCAAGUCUGAUCCAGCCAUUCCGCGUGCAGGACGAAGGCCUUCGGGUUGUAAACUGCUUUUGUACGGAACGAAAAGGUCUCUAUUAAUACUAGGGGCUCAUGACGGUACCGUAAGAAUAAGCACCGGCUAACUACGUGCCAGCAGCCGCGGUAAUACGUAGGGUGCAAGCGUUAAUCGGAAUUACUGGGCGUAAAGCGUGCGCAGGCGGUUAUAUAAGACAGAUGUGAAAUCCCCGGGCUCAACCUGGGAACUGCAUUUGUGACUGUAUAGCUGGAGUGCGGCAGAGGGGGAUGGAAUUCCGCGUGUAGCAGUGAAAUGCGUAGAUAUGCGGAGGAACACCGAUGGCGAAGGCAAUCCCCUGGGCCUGCACUGACGCUCAUGCACGAAAGCGUGGGGAGCAAACAGGAUUAGAUACCCUGGUAGUCCACGCCCUAAACGAUGUCAACUGGUUNUUGGGUCUUCACUGACUCAGUAACGAAGCUAACGCGUGAAGUUGACCGCCUGGGGAGUACGGCCGCAAGGUUGAAACGUCAAAGGAAUUGACGGCNGAGAGNGCGAGGACGACGACGAGGGAGGAGG